rnacentral:misc_RNA from 1 species
UCUUCGUAGGUGAACCUGCGGAGGGAUCAUUACAAGUGACCCCGGUCUUACCACCGGGAUGUUCAUAACCCUUUGUUGUCCGACUCUGUUGCCUCCGGGGCGACCCUGCCUUCGGGCGGGGGCUCCGGGUGGACACUUCAAACUCUUGCGUAACUUUGCAGUCUGAGUAAACUUAAUUAAUAAAUUAAAACUUUUAACAACGGAUCUCUUGGUUCUG